rnacentral:rRNA from 1 species
AGGGGGAUAACUACUGGAAACGGUAGCUAAUACCGCAUAACGUCGCAAGACCAAAGAGGGGGACCUUCGGGCCUCUUGCCAUCGGAUGUGCCCAGAUGGGAUUAGCUAGUAGGUGGGGUAAAGGCUCACCUAGGCGACGAUCCCUAGCUGGUCUGAGAGGAUGACCAGCCACACUGGAACUGAGACACGGUCCAGACUCCUACGGGAGGCAGCAGUGGGGAAUAUUGCACAAUGGGCGCAAGCCUGAUGCAGCCAUGCCGCGUGUAUGAAGAAGGCCUUCGGGUUGUA